rnacentral:rRNA from 1 species
AGGACGAACGCUGGCGGCGUGCUUAACACAUGCAAGUCGAGCGAGGUCCAACGGGUGGCAACACCCGGGAAGACCGAGCGGCGAACGGGUGAGUAACACGUGAGCAACCUGUCCCGAAGACCGGGAUAACACCGGGAAACCGGUGCUAAUACCGGAUGUCCCCACCAGGCCACAUGACCAGGUGAGGAAAUGGAUUCCGCUUCGGGAGGGCUCGCGGGCUAUCAGCUUGUUGGUGGGUAACGCCCACAAGGCUACGACGGCUAGCUGGUCUGAGAGGACGACCAGCCACACUGGGACUGAGACACGGCCCAGCUCCUACGGGAGGCAGCAGUGGGGAAUCUUGCGCAAGUGGACGAAGCUGACGCAGCAACGCCGCGGUGGGAUGGAAGGCUCGUCGGGUUACGUAACCC